UUGCACCUACCGAUUGAAUGGUCCGGUGAAGCCUCGGGAUUGUGACCGGUUCGCUUUAUUGUGAUUUGGUCAUGAGAACUUGUCUAAACCUUAUCAUUUAGAGGAAGGUG
rnacentral:rRNA from 1 species